rnacentral:miRNA from 1 species
UUAACCUAGUCACAUUCAACG